AACUCUUAGUAUUAUAUUUGUUUUGUUCUUCUCUAAUUUACUGUUUAAUUUUUCUCCUUUUUUAUAAGUUUGUUUAUUUUCUUUUACCGGAAUGAACAACUCCAAUAACAGUGGAGUAGUUUAUUUUAUCACUAUAAAGGUUUAGUAUGUUUAUUUUAUUUCAUUUCUCUUUUUCAUGCUUCAGGGUAUGAUUUACCUUUGAUUUUUCGUGCUUCAGGGUAUGGGCAUAUUUCUGGUGUUCAUCUAGUAACAACCAUCAAGGUGUCCAUUCUGAAAGUUAUUGAGUGUGGAACGAAAAUUGAGUGUGAUAUAUUAGUUGAAAACAGGAAUAAAGUUUUAAAGUCUAUGAUAAUCCACAUGAUUUGUUCACUCAAUGAAUAAUUUCAGAAGUUGAGAUUUUUGAUAAAAUUCUGUAAUUUCUUGUAUGUUUGCAAUAUGUUUAGUUGUUCCUGAAAUGACGUAUAAGUUAAAUUCUGCGUGUUCAAUAGUUUGGCACCUCUUAUUUGAUUUUUGGAUGCACCAUGACAGUACCACAGAGCAAUAGUUCUUGACAAAGCGCCUGUGCUCCUAGCACUUACAUGAAUAGGAUGCCCAUUAUAUCACUAGCUUUAACUUUACUAGGAAUACAUUCAGAAAUAAAAAUUCCAUCACAUGGCCUAUGGGAUAUAAAUAUAAAGCAAAUAAAUAGAAAGAAAUUCACAAUUUAGGACUAUGACUUCUAUUUGCAGUCAAAGACACAUGUUGUGUUAUUACACGAGACAAUGAGAGUGAAACAUUAAAGAGAAGGAAAAAUAAAGAAACAAAAGGAUCCAAUAGCAUCUGUUAGUAGCAUAAAAUAAAAUUUUAGUUUUCUUUCUUGAAAGAUAAGUUCAAAUUGAAAGGAAGCAAAUUCGCAAAAUGUAUCAGUUGUUAUGCCGCAAAUACGUGCAUCUUUUUUUUAAAUGUAUAUAAUUUUAUGUAACUAGAUGGAUAAGGUUAUCAGAUAUGUAUUGCUUACGCUAUGUUCAUAAGCUCGCCAACUUCUUAUAUUCUUUGCCGAUUAAAUUAUUACUUGGAAGAAACUGACAAUCAUUUUAGUGAAAACUAGCUUUCUGAAUAUUUAUGGAUAGGAUGCAGUAAUUUUAAUGUUUAGAAAGACCACAUGAUUUCUAUAGUAUAUUGAAUGAAUGUCACUUUCAAUUAACAAAAGUUAGAAUAGCAAAAAAACAAAAAAAAGAAAGAAGGAAAUCACAGUUGCGGCAUAGACAGGGAUUAUUAAAUAUACUUGAGUUUACAUUCUUAUAAUAUAUCCUCCCCUCCGGUUGAGUGGUUUAAUUUUCAUCGGUUCUUGUUCAUAGAAAGAUACAAGGGUUAUUUAUUUAUGUGCUGAUAGAUAUUAGUACUUCACAACAUUCUAUUCACAUGCUCAGAAUAUAUAAUCUCUUAUUUUUUUGCAGAUGAAAGCUUGGGCAAAAGCGCAGAAUAUUAAUAGCUCAAAAGCGAAAACUUUGAAUUCAUUAUCUGUAAUACUUCUGCUUACUUUUCAUUUGUAGGUAACUUAUUUAAAGAAAAGGUAUUAAUUUUCACUUAAUGAGUACAUGUUUUUAACAACAUCUUCCAGCAUCGAGAGACUAUGCAGAGGAGAUUAUUCUUUUCCUAAUUCAAAAAGUGCCAGAAAGUAAUGAAAAAUAAGAAUGGUCUUCUUGCAUUCUUGACAUGUCAAAAUAUCAUUGCCAAGGCUUGGUAUACAAAGACAACAAUGAUGAGUAGAUUGCAUUUUCUUUCUCUGAUUCUGGAUCAAUGAAGACCGUUAAACACUUGCAAAGAGAGUUAACCUAUUGAGCAGGUACUUCUAACUUCAUGGUGUACAACAAACACAAAGAGAAAUCAAAUCACACUUAGAACUUACUUUGCAAAUGUAAAAAAUAUUGCUAAAAGAAGUAGAGUUAUUCAUAAUUUUCGUAAGUAAAAAUCUAAGGAAAACGUAUGUAUUUGUAGCCAACAAAAGGUAGUGCGAACAAGUGUUUUUAUGCUAUAACAGAAAAAGUCAUAGCCUAUUCAAUGUGAAUCUGCUAUUCAAAUUGCAUUUUUUUCUUGGUAUCUUUUCGAAAAUAAAGAAGCACUUACUCAUUUUUCAUUUAUCUCUCGCGAAAGGCCUAACAAAAUCUACAACAAUUGUCAGAUGCUACGAAACCUAAGACUUGAUUUGCCUCUAAGAACCUUACUUGAGAUACUUUCUACUAGCAUGUUUAACUUUUGAUCUAGACAUGGCUAAGAAAGAUCGUAGUAUCAAUUAACUUCUAAAGUUCCUCAGUGUUGGUGAUAUAUAGAAACUAUAUUGAACCUUCAGUGAUCAAGAUGCUGAACAGAUUAUUCAUUAGGACCUCCAGUUGACCAUAUGUUCUUUCCAGAAGUGUGUAUAUGUGCUUGUGUUGGCCAAACGUGUAACAAUCAUAAAAUAAUAUUUAGGAGUUAAUUAGCUAUUUAGCCUCUUCGGCUUUCUAUUUUAGAAGUGUACUUUCUCAAAAAAGAUAAAGAAAUUUCUACAUAAAGUUUGUGUGAACUACAAAAUACAUCUUGAGGUUUUCUCUCUAGACGUAUUUCAUUGUGUGUCACUGCAAUGGGAAUAGGUUUAUCUGUGAAUAGUCUUUGUCAAGUUAUCAUUGGCAAUUGGGUCCUUCUUCAAGAUCUCUUAUGUUCAAACCAUGUCAGAGGUCUAAAAGUUGUUCCACAGAAACUAUAGGUACUAACAAACUUGUUAUUGUCAAAGAACAUGUUGCUCCUUUACUUUAAACUAAAACCUAAACUAAGAGACUCAUCUAUAUUGCAUUAGAAGAGAAAACGGCAACCCUCUCCCUUGUAGGCAAGAGUCCUACCCUCAAGAAGCUUACAGUUUUUCUACUUUCAAUCUUUCAAUGAGUUAUGAUGGAUGAACAACUGAUAUUUGCAUAAUGCGAGGGGGAUGCAUCUGUCAUAUAAUUAACUUAAUUGAUGAAGCACAAUUAAUUCUUCAGAAAUACAAGAGAAAAAAGAGCAUGAAUACUACUCACAACAUAGCCAGCUACAAUACUUGCCAGUUGCCAUUUUAGUUAAUGACUGGUACUGAUAAAUCUAGCUGGUGUUGGCCAAAAUGGGUAAAAGCCUGAUAGAUUACAUUGUUAUCCUGUAAAAUUAUUCAACUGUAUAUAUUUAACAGUAAAUAUUCCAUGGACAACAAGUUCAUUAUGUCCAACUCUAACUUCCUCAAAGUGAAUCAAAAAGAAUAAAUGAAGUUGCAUGUUGUAUGCAAAUUAUCCGUAAAAGAAACUGGUAAAUAAAUAGAGUGUAGAGAUAUGUCGGAUCAAUACUCAGCCACCAUGGAAAUAUUUUGCUUAGCUUUGCAAUGUGGUUGGUGAUAGAAAGGAGCCAGAUCACAGCAGAUCCAAACACGAUUCAAAAGCUCUUUGAAGCUAUAUAAAUUUAAAAUUUAUCAUUGGCAACCUCUUCUUCUUUAUUGGGCAAUUUAUCUUCUAUGCAACUUCUGCAUAUACUAGAGCACUCCGGUACACUAAAGUUCCCGCUAUUUGCAAGGUCUGAUGAAGAGUCCAACCACAAGGAUCUUUUGUGCGCAGUCUUACCUUGCAUUUCUGCAAGAGGCUAUUUCCGAGGCUUAACUUCUGCACGUACUACUUUUAGUAAAUAUUUUAUGUCUUUCAUUAUGCGUCAUCUGUUUUCAUUUGCUUUUUCCUUUGUCAGUGAAGGCAUUUCCCAAGAAUGUUACAAGCAAACCUUGUAAGCUGACUACCUUCUUAUAAGGCCGAAAUGACCCACAUUAUAUGAGAAUUCGCAAAAUCUAUUCAAGUAAAAUUUUCUUUCCAUUUACAGCAUUGAUCUUCACAUCUUAUAAAGUGAGUUGUAGAACUCCACAAGAAAAAACAUGUGAGGAUGUCACUAUAGUUGAAACAUCGAUUGUAGUUGAAUAUGUUAUGACACUUUGUGAUUUGAGUUGCCUCAACACUGCUUUAGCUCAACAUCUCAGUGAAGAGUUGAAGAGGUUCUACAAGAACUAGAGAAAAUUCAAGAAGAUCAUUAUGAAGUAUAUCAAGAAAUAUGAGACUGGUGAAUAAAAAGGAUAUUUUGACGUUGUUGGAGAAAUUGAAGAAGUGUGCUUGUGUCAUUUUUGUGUUGGCUCACACUCAAGGUACAAAAUCUGUAUGUCAUUACUUCAGGUUUUGGGGGACCCCAUGUCUUGAAUCUGCUUUUGCUGCACAUAUAAAAUGUAUAUCUAUAAUUUUUUCGGCUUUCUUACAAUCAUGCUUAGACCAAUGUUCAUGUUCUGAAAAUAUGGGUAAUAAAAGGUGUUAAUGCACCUCUUGGAGUUAAA